AACGAACGCUGGCGGCAGGCCUAACACAUGCAAGUCGAGCGAGGACUUCGGUCCUAGCGGCGGACGGGUGAGUAACGCGUGGGAACGUGCCCUUUGCUUCGGAAUAGCCCUGGGAAACUGGGAGUAAUACCGGAUGAGCCCUUUGGGGGAAAGAUUUAUCGGCGAAGGAUCGGCCCGCGUUGGAUUAGGUAGUUGGUGGGGUAAUGGCCUACCAAGCCGACGAUCCAUAGCUGGUUUGAGAGGAUGAUCAGCCACACUGGGACUGAGACACGGCCCAGACUCCUACGGGAGGCAGCAGUGGGGAAUCUUAGACAAUGGGGGAAACCCUGAGCUAGCCAUGCCGCGUGAGCGAUGAAGGCCUUAGGGUUGUAAAGCUCUUUCAGCUGGGAAGAUAAUGACGGUACCAGCAGAAGAAGCCCCGGCUAACUCCG
rnacentral:rRNA from 1 species